UCUGCAGAGAGAGUCAAAGACCGUGAAACCGUUCAGAGUAUAAGCCUAUGGUGCAUGGAAGGCUUCCACUGGGGCGUUCACCCAUCGUGGAGUUCGCGGGGGCCAAGGACGGUGUUCAUGAGGCAGUGGCAUUGAGUUGAGUACACCGGCGUGUGGGGGAUUUGGUGGGAGCGCUCGAAUGGUUUCGGCCCUUGAGUAGUUCUUGCCUUUUUCCUUAAACUAUGAAUGUUCAAAGUCCAUUGGCCUUAAGUGGUUAUGCCCACCACAGCCCGUUAGAAGGUCACCCACAGGCUCGAGCAGUCGAUCGCGUGUUUCAGCGCCGGGAUGUAGUAUCUGUAGUCCAAUAACGUAUGGUGUGUUGGCCGGAUGCGUGCCCGGGUCUAGCUGGCCGGGCGAUGCACAGAGUUAAACCUGGUAUGAUCCUUUUGACGAGCUGCUUCUGACCAGGAGUGACACUCCAGGACCCAGCCAUACUCGGUUGGGGCCGAUUCGGCAGUUUGGUCGCAUACGUUGGGGCCUCUGCCGGGUGUCAACCUGCGUGGUGUAAUGUCCAGCACCAUCGGUCACGUCUCGAAACACGGGCCAAGGAGUAUAGCAUGUGUGCAAGUCUAAGGGUUUCACAAAACCCGCAGGCGCAGUGAAAGCAAGACUGUGUCGUGAGAGUUACUUCGGUAGCGAUCUCGGCAGCCUCUCGUGUUGGUGCGCCCGGUCUCGUACUGUGUGCGCGCCACACGUCUGGCAUUUGGCAGAGCUGAUGCUGCUAUUGGAUAAUUCCCUUUAUGCAGUUGCAAGCUCCGGGCUCCCGCAACACGCUUUGGUCAUCCUCGUGGUGGCUGUGUUGGGAGCA
rnacentral:rRNA from 1 species